UGUCUGACAGAAUGUGUACCAUCACCACAAUCAAUUUGUGUACAAUCAACUUGUGUAUAGGAAGCUAAGCCUACACCACAUAUGCAUGCUUGGUCAGUGACUCAUUACUGUCUAAUGAGGGUCUAGCCACACCAAUUAGCUUCAAAUCUCCCUAGCAUAAUUAUGUUCUACCUGUGCAAGCAAACAAGCCACAUCUUUAUUACAGCCACCUGUUGGUCUGCCCAACUGUGACCACCAUAAACAAGUUUCUCAGAACUGAGCUCGAUCACUAUAAUUCACAUGCAUGUGGAACCUCCGAUGAGGAGUGGUGAUACGAAUGGUCCUCGGGGGAACCAGUACAUCCAACAAGUCAACUGUGUUAGCCUGUGUAUAUUUCAUUAUGAUCAUUAUGAGUCAAGCUAAGCACUCAGACAAAGAUUUACCAAGAAAUCGUGUCACAUUGGUAUGAAGAAGCUCAUCUCGAUUAUAGAAGCAUCUAAAAAGGCAAAUAGUUAUGAUGUGGACAUGAUCGUAAGGAGGUUAGAAAUUGAAGGACACCUCACCAACUAAACUAUUGUUAAUUGCUGCCACUUUCUAAGACAUCUCUAUUACUUUAUUUUAGUUUUGCGUUCUAUACAUUUUAGCUGGAUUCCUAUAAUUAUUACUAUUAUUUACGCACUCAUACAAUUGAACGCUGAGUGGUUUGUGGGUGUGGUUACAAUUCACAGGAGGUGUGGUUUUAUCACAAUAUAAUAAAGUAUUGAAAUAACGACAAAAUCAUGCAGUGAGCAAAUAAAAUCAUAAUUAUUAUUAUAUUAAGAUUUAUACAGUGACUUCAUUCAUUCUUUGGCCACCAUAAACAAGUCGACAUGCAGCACUGAUCGAGCUCACUAUAAUACUUAACGCAUGCGUGAAUACAUGGAUGAUAUGAUUUAUAUUUCAGAGUUAGCAAUAUGGUCGUCAGUGGUGUGAAUGACUGGUUGUAUCCCUCCAGCUUAGAACACACCCUCCACUCUGUGAGGAGGGUAAUAUGUUCAA